AACUCUCGAACAUACUCCCCCAAUGUGCCCCGUUGCGUUAUCCCUUGCAACUUUGCCCUAGCUUCAUCCUCGGUAAAUUCUAGGUAAAACUGUCAUUUCAACUCACAUUGAAACUUUUUCCACGUCCCAAUCUCACAUUACCUUUUAUCUGUGGUCUUACCUCGCCACCAUAAGAGCUCAAUAUCAACAAGAAACAUUGAAGCAUUGUUUACCUUAACG
rnacentral:lncRNA from 1 species